rnacentral:tRNA from 1 species
AGGGGUAUAGCUCAGUUGGUAGAGCGGCGGUCUCCAAAACCGCAGGUCGUGGGUUCGAGUCCCUCUGCCCCUGCCA